rnacentral:rRNA from 2 species
AUCAAUAAGCGGAGGAAAAGAAACCAACAGGGAUUGCCCUAGUAACGGCGAGUGAAGCGGCAACAGCUCAGAUUUGAAAUCUGGCCCGCCAGGGCCCGAGUUGUAAUCUGCAGAGGAUGCUUUUGGCGAGGUGCCUUCUAAGUCCCCUAGAACGGGGCGCCACAGAGGGUGAGAGCCCCGUACAGUUGGACACCGAACCUCUGUAAAGCUCCUUCGACGAGUCGAGUAGUUUGGGAAUGCUGCUCAAAAUGGGAGGUAAAUUUCUUCUAAAGCUAAAUACCGGCCAGAGACCGAUAGCGCACAAGUAGAGUGAUCGAAAGAUGAAAAGCACUUUGAAAAGAGGGUUAAACAGCACGUGAAAUUGUUGAAAGGGAAGCGCUUGUGACCAGACUUGCGCCCGGCGGAUCAUCCAGCGUUCUCGCUGGUGCACUUCGCCGGGCCCAGGCCAGCAUCGGUUCACCCAGGGGGACAAAGGCCUCGGGAACGUAGCUCUCUUCGGGGAGUGUUAUAGCCCGUGGUAUAAUACCUUUGGGGGGACCGAGGACCGCGCUUCUGCAAGGAUGCUGGCGUAAUGGUCAUCAGCGACCCGUCUUG